rnacentral:lncRNA from 1 species
ACAGAUCUGGGCUCAUCAGUACAUUUCUCUCUAUGUGCAUCUCCUACCUACGGGGCUGCUAUGGCUCUUCUUAAAUGACUUCUCCUCCCCGCAACUCCGUGCACAGAAGAUUACAACAUAAACACGGCACCAGAACAGAAGUUUACAGUUUCAGGAGAGGAAGCAGCUGAGCAAAUUGCAACUGAUCAUGGGCUUAGAGCAGGAAGAGACUGAGGCCAAACUCUGCACGACAUAUAAGAUACCAUCUGUUUUAUCUCCAAUCAGUCUUUGCCACCUUAGCUGUUGAUAUUUCAUCCGUGAACUUUCAUUUGGCAUCUGGUGAUAUGCUCUUUGGCAGCACAGUUCCAUGAAGUCAAAGGUCUUCCAGUUGCUUCUGGACUCCCAUACUGGCUUCUGUCCAUCUGCAGUGACAUUAAAGCUACUUAUGCUGCUCCCAACCUGCCCUACAACACAAGUGGACUAAGCAUCUAUCUGCAGACUCUCAGAAUGGCAUAACCUAACUAUUGGAAACGUUUUUGCACCAUUCCUCUGUCCUGCUGUCCCAUUACUGGCCUCCCUACUUUAGUCGGUUGAUCCAGCCCCAACCAUUCCCACUGAGGUUAACUUUGCUAUAUCCAAUCGCAUCCAAAGAUAGAAAUCACAAUGCAAAAUGUCAAGGCCUUUUAAACUAUUAUACUUUGGACAAGCCCUGAUACUCAUCUUUUCCAUUGCUAACAUGGGAUAGCUAUAUGAUCAAUAAUAUUAUACUUAUGCUCAUUUGCACUUGUGUCUGAACAGAUAUGUUUAAGUCACACUCGAAGAAUUAAUAUGGUAGCCCGAGUAAAAUGGACUAGUUUGACUUCCAUUUCAUUUGACUACAGCCAACUUUGUUGGCAUGUAGAGGUAAGCAGAGGACAAGCCCUAAAGAGUGUGAUCUAUUUUUGCAAUAAAACGCCAUCUCCAAAUGGGAAGCAAUUGAAACACCACAUGCCAUAGUUUUACUGCAACAGGCCAAAAUCUCUAGGGCUGACAGACUAUUUAGGAUUUCUUGACUUCUCACAAGUGCAGAAUAUCCCCAAAACUUCUAAUCAUACUUGCAAAUAUCUUUUAGAUUAGUCCACGUUGACUAAAUGAUUAUUUAAAAGCAAUAAAACUUAUCAAAUAAAAUAUCAUAGAAGUUUGUAGUACGUGUAUAUUCAAGUUAAUGGUUCAGUGGGACAUCUUGAAAAUGUAUGUGCUGAAGACUGUCCUCUGAAAAUGGGGUUACAAACAGCUAUAUUUGCUCAACUCACAGGCAAGAUGAGUUCCAAUAAUGCGAAUUGCUCUAGAAUUCAUUAUAUUAUGCUUUCUUUGAAAUCUCAGUGUUAGAAGCCAAUGACUCCAAAAGCAGCCCUUUCUCUUUACUAACUAAAUGUCAGAUUACCAGAAAUUUUGAGUUUAGUAAUUUGAACUUUCUUAGUGAGAAACAGUUAAAGAUUUCUCCUUUUAAACUGUGCAUGGCAAAUUCUCCUUACCCAAAUUCUCAAAAGUUGUAAAAUCUACUGUCAUAUGGCACAUGGAAAGGACAUUAAAAAUAAUUUGGGCCAACCUCUUCAGCCUGGAUUUUGUGAGUUGUUUAAAAAGACACUUUUAAACUCUUGGUUCUGUGUUUAAAAUACAGUGAGUGAAAUUCAUAUUGAGACCACUAUAAGUUUUCCAGGGAUAAGAACCUAAGAAAUGGUUAGAGUUACUUAAAACUCUCUUAGGACAUUUCUGUAUAAAGCCUGCAUACAUAUACAUGCUCACAUGACCAACUAGAUGACAUACGGCCAGAAGGCACUCAAACUGCAGAUUCACCUUUGUAAAUCUUAAAUAGGAUAAAUUCUUAAAUUUGUAUUCAUCUAACAAUAAGC